AAUCCAUAGGUUAAUGAGGCGAACCGGGGGAACUGAAACAUCUAAGUACCCCGAGGAAAAGAAAUCAACCGAGAUUCCCCCAGUAGCGGCGAGCGAACGGGGAGGAGCCCAGAGCCUGAAUCAGCAUGUGUGUUAGUGGAAGCGUCUGGAAAGGCGCGCGAUACAGGGUGACAGCCCCGUACACAAAAGCGCAUGUGCUGUGAGCUCGAUGAGUAGGGCGGGACACGUGGUAUCCUGUCUGAAUAUGGGGGGACCAUCCUCCAAGGCUAAAUACUCCUGACUGACCGAUAGUGAACCAGUACCGUGAGGGAAAGGCGAAAAGAACCCCGGCGAGGGGAGUGAAAAAGAACCUGAAACCGUGUACGUACAAGCAGUGGGAGCACAGGUUUACCUGUGUGACUGCGUACCUUUUGUAUAAUGGGUCAGCGACUUAUAUUCUGUAGCAAGGUUAACCGUAUAGGGGAGCCGUAGGGAAACCGAGUCUUAACCGGGCGUUAAGUUGCAGGGUAUAGACCCGAAACCCGGUGAUCUAGCCAUGGGCAGGUUGAAGGUUGGGUAACACUAACUGGAGGACCGAACCGACUAAUGUUGAAAAAUUAGCGGAUGACCUGUGGCUGGGGGUGAAAGGCCAAUCAAACCGGGAGAUAGCUGGUUCUCCCCGAAAGCUAUUUAGGUAGCGCCUCGUGAAUUCAUCUCCGGGGGUAGAGCACUGUUUCGGCUAGGGGGCCAUCCCGGCUUACCAACCCGAUGCAAACUGCGAAUACCGGAGAAUGUUAUCACGGGAGACACACGGCGGGUGCUAACGUCCGUCGUGAAGAGGGAAACAACCCAGACCGCCAGCUAAGGUCCCAAAGUCAUGGUUAAGUGGGAAACGAUGUGGGAAGGCCCAGACAGCCAGGAUGUUGGCUUAGAAGCAGCCAUCAUUUAAAGAAAGCGUAAUAGCUCACUGGUCGAGUCGGCCUGCGCGGAAGAUGUAACGGGGCUAAACCAUGCACCGAAGCUGCGGCAGCGAACGUA
rnacentral:rRNA from 1 species